CUUUUUUUUUUUUUUUUUCAGUUUUUUUUCAAUAGCAAAGUUAUCGCCAAUUGUACAAUUCCCUUGCAAAAUAUUAAGACAAUAAUAUGUAUCUUUACAAUAUGCUAAUCUUCCAACCAAUUCUUUUGACUACAAUUGUGUUUUAUGCACGACCUUCCUUUCACCACCUGAAAUAAUGAUGAAUCUUUCCUAAUGGAACAAAGAAAGUCGGCUGCUAGUGUCCUAAAGUAAUUCAAUUGUGACCCAUAAUUAUUCAUGCCACAAAAUCAUGCAACAAAUGGGAGGAAUUGAACCUGUGUUGCCUGUUUCCUGGAUUCAGGCAUUCAUAAUCUGUGUUCUCCGCCUCAGUAGAAGAUGCUGCUGCACCAUAUAUAUCAUCCCCUCUCGUGGAAACAAAACUGUGAUGGGCUGUGGCAGACACUGGUAGGUUACCACCAUUACAGUGCUGCAACCCCAGAGUAAGAGAUACUCCACUUGCAGUCCCAAACCCUCCCACCUGUGACAUUUGAUAAGCAGCAGC
rnacentral:misc_RNA from 1 species